rnacentral:lncRNA from 1 species
AUGAGCAUGGCAGAUGCCCCCGGAACUCUUAUGCCUGCUCCGUUCUGUCCCUCUCUUAACACUUUCAACUCCCAUCCAGCAGUUAUGUUGCCUCUGACAGUUAACUGCUUAGAUUUUUCUGCUUCCAGUAAGUGCCCCUGGCUCCCAUACCUUCACAUCCCCCACCCAAGUCACUGUGACUUUCUUUUGCUUCUCUUCUUGUUCCAGCACAUUCCCUCUAAGAGUCACUCCUCAGGGACUACAGUCUUGAGGAAAACACUGAACCAAGCUUUCGGAAGUGCUGCUUCACCUCAACUGUAUGAGUCAUGCAAGCAUCGGCAGAGCACUGCUUUGGUUCCCCAGAAACUAACAGAAACAGAAGAUUCAGAACGAGAAAUAGGAAGAAAAAUAGAGGAGAAGAGAAACGUUCUCCUUUCCCAAUUAAAAAUUGGCUGAUGUGUAGUGGCACCAGGAAAACUCCUGGAUGGAAUAAGAUCCAUACAUGUGAAAAUGAAGAAAGAAGGGAAAUAAUUAAAAGAACGAAGGAAAGAAAAGGAGAAAAAAGGGAAAGAAAAUGAGAUUUUUUUCCUUUAGAUUAUUUUCAGCAUACAUUAAGGUAAUGUGCCCAGGCUUUUAAAUUUCAUAGACCUGCAAAAACAUUUUGUUCCCUCUUCCUAUUGCUCACUUCUCUGCAUAAAGGCAUUGUAAAACACACAUUAUUGUCAGUAUCUUCUUCA